rnacentral:rRNA from 1 species
UACGUAGGGUGCGAGCGUUGUCCGGAAUUAUUGGGCGUAAAGGGCUCGUAGGCGGUUUGUCGCGUCGGGAGUGAAAACUCAGGGCUUAACCCUGAGCCUGCUUCCGAUACGGGCAGACUAGAGGUAUGCAGGGGAGAACGGAAUUCCUGGUGUAGCGGUGAAAUGCGUAGAUAUCGGGAGGAACACCAGUGGCGAAGGCGGCUACCUGGCCCACUCUUGACGCUGAGGCGCGAAAGCUAGGGGAGCAAACGGG